AUUGAACGCUGGCGGAAUGCUUACACAUGCAAGUCGAACGGUAGAGGGGGCAACCCCUCGAGAGUGGCGAACGGGUGAGUAAUAUAUCGGAACGUGCCCAGUCGUGGGGGAUAACGUAGCGAAAGUUACGCUAAUACCGCAUACGAUCUACGGAUGAAAGCGGGGGAUCGCAAGACCUCGCGCGAUUGGAGCGGCCGAUAUCAGAUUAGGUAGUUGGUGGGGUGAAGGCUCACCAAGCCAACGAUCUGUAGCUGGUCUGAGAGGACGACCAGCCACACUGGAACUGAGACACGGUCCAGACUCCUACGGGAGGCAGCAGUGGGGAAUUUUGGACAAUGGACGCAAGUCUGAUCCAGCCAUUCCGCGUGCAGGAUGAAGGCCCUCGGGUUGUAAACUGCUUUUGUACGGAACGAAAAGGUCUCUAUUAAUACUAGGGGCUCAUGACGGUACCGUAAGAAUAAGCACCGGCUAACUACGUG
rnacentral:rRNA from 1 species